UACGGAGGGGGCUAGCGUUGUUCGGAAUCACUGGGCGUAAAGCGUACGUAGGCGGCUAUUCAAGUCAGAGGUGAAAGCCUGGGGCUCAACCCCAGAACUGCCUUUGAAACUAGGUAGCUUGAACACGGGAGAGGUGAGUGGAAUCCCGAGUGUAGAGGUGAAAUUCGUAGAUAUUCGGAAGAACACCAGUGGCGAAGGCGGCUCACUGGACCGUUGUUGACGCUGAGGUACGGAAGCGUGGGGAGCAAACAGG
rnacentral:rRNA from 1 species